GAUCGGGAUGGUAAUAAAGGAGCGUCCGGGUAUCGCGUUGCCCCGUACGAGAAUUGAAUAUCCAUUGGCUUGGUCAGGUGCAGUUUGACGCAGCAAUAACAAUUGUAAUCGUAGUAAUAAUUUCACCCAAAUGCCAGCCCACUAACUCGAAAGUUUUAAUUGGAACUUGUCAUAUACGUUGAAACUAUACGCCACAGCGAAGCGUACGGACACUGUUCGAGGGUUUACGAGCUGGGAAGGACAAUAAAGAAGGUUCUUCUUUCUUCGAAAUUAGCUCAUUUUAUGCUUCGAUCGAAAAUACAUGGAUAUUUUCUAUGUAAUAAUGAAUCGGGGAUGUUUUGAAAAGGAG